CCUACGGGUGGCAGCAGUGGGGAAUAUUGCGCAAUGGGGGAAACCCUGACGCAGCAACGCCGCGUGAGUGAGGAAGUAUCUCGGAUUGUAAAGCUCUAUCAGCGGGGAAGAAAGAGGACGGUACCCGACUAAGAAGCCCCGGCUAACUACGUGCCAGCAGCCGCGGUAAUACGUAGGGGGCGAGCGUUAUCCGGAUUUACUGGGUGUAAAGGUGGCGUAGACGGCGGAGCAAGUCUGAGGUGAAAGCCCUUGGCUCAACCGAGGAACCGCAUUGGAAACUGCGAGGUUUGAGUGCUGGAGAGGAAAGCGGAAUUCCUGGUGUAGCGGUGAAAUGCGUAGAUAUUAGGAGGAACACCAGUGGCGAAGGCGGCUUACUGGACAGUGACUGACGUUGAGGCUCGAAAGCGUGGGGAGCGAACAGGAUUAGAUACCCCGGUAGUC
rnacentral:rRNA from 1 species